AGGAGUUUUUGGGCUCCCAAUUACACCUAUCUUUCUUUAAGUCUUUCAGUACCGAAAGCAAUCCAAAAAUAUCCUCAGAUGCUACAGGAGACAUAGGUAAGAAACAAUUAGCGCUGUCAGAGGAUUCAGCUGUUACAGGAGAGUCUAAAUUUGCUGCACUUGGAGCUGAUUCUCUUGACACGGUACUUUAAUAUCAGUCUAUUGCAUUAU
rnacentral:sRNA from 1 species